rnacentral:rRNA from 1 species
AUUGAACGCUGGCGGCAGGCCUAACACAUGCAAGUCGAGCGGACGAAGGGAGCUUGUUCCUGGAUUCAGCGGCGGGCGGGUGGGUGAUUCCUACGAAUCUGCCUGGUCGAGGGGGAUAACGUCCCGACACGGGCGCUAAUAUCGCAUACGUCCUGAGGUAGAAAGUGGGGGAUCUUUGGACCUCACGCUAUUAGAUGAGCCUAGGUCUGAUUAGCUAGUCGGUGGGGUAAAGGCCUACCAAGGCGACGUUCCGUAGCUGGUCUGAGUGGAUGAUCAGCCACACUGUAACUGAGACACGGUCCAGACUCCUACGGGAGGCAGCAGUGGGGAAUUUUCGACAAUGGGCGAAAGCCUGAUCCAGCCAUGCCGCGUGAGUGAUGAAGGUCUUCGGAUUGUAAAGCUCUUUAAUUAGGGAAGAACAGAUGUAUAUUUAUCUCUUCACGUUUUGACGGUACCUACUCAGAAAGCCCCGGCUAACUUCGUG